AGUAGGGAAUACUUCCACAAUGGGCGAAAGCCUGAUGGAGCAACGCCGCGUGUGUGAUGAAGGGUUUCGGCUCGUAAAACACUGUUGUAAGAGAAGAAUGACAUUGAGAGUAACUGUUCAAUGUGUGACGGUAUCUUACCAGAAAGGAACGGCUAAAUACGNGCCAC
rnacentral:rRNA from 1 species